AAGUACAAGAAAUGUUCAAGAAUAAAAAGUAGGGAGUUAUGUUUAUUAAAAGAGCAAGUGGAAAUACAAUUUAUUGGAUUAUAGAAAUGCUAAUAGUACAUGCCAUGAAAGGGACAAUACACUCUUGGUUUUUUCUAAAUAAAUAUAGGAAACAAAAGCUUCAAGAGGAGUCUUCUUUCUCUCUUUCCCUCUCGAUUCUUGCUCCACAAAACACCAAGAAAAGACAACUUGCACCUACAAGUGAAACAUCAAAAUAGGUAUGAGAAUUUUGGAUUCACAAGACUCAAAAGUGGAGGACUUAUUCAAUAUAGCAAGCAUGAAAUCCUUGUGACACAUCACCAAGCUUGCAAAAAGAAUGAGAACAAGUUGAGCAAAGGAUAAGCUCAUCACCAAGGACCUUUUAAAGGGAACCAUAGAUUUCCACACCCUCCAAACCGAGACUAGGAGGCAGCCAAGAGGGGGGCAGCCCCAAGGCUUGCAUCAAAUAGGAAAGAUUCCCAUAAUCAAUAAGUUCAAAAGGGAGCAAGCUGGCAGCCAAAAAUAGGAGCCUUUGUCCCCAAGUUUCAGGCACAAAAUGCCAAUUCCUUGAGCUAUAUAAGAGGCCGCAGCCUUCGCCCCUCCCCACUCUUCGAACACCAAGAUUCACAACAUCAUAAGGAGAAAGCAGCAAGGAGUGAGGAAUGAGGCGAGGCGCCGGCAGCAAGAGAGACCGCAAGGAUUUUCAGCCGAGAGGAAUUUGUUCAAGGGGCAAGAGAGGCCGAACGAGGAAUUGUUAAUUGGAGAUAAGCAUAACAGGUUGAACGUCAAGUUGAAGGAGGAAUUGAUCGGAGUCGAUGCUAUUAAAUAAGCUUGUGGAUUUCUCGGCGAUUCGUGUCUUCAUACACGAAGUCGUUUAGUAGGGACCUCUUUCCGCUGCAUUUAUUUCGUUAAGUGAGAAGCUUAUUGUCUCACCUUCGAACUCUGAUUUGGUUGUUGUGGUGAAUGAUUCUAUUUGAGAACAUGUAACCAAAUAUUCGGUUCCUUGUUUGCAGUGUUUAUUUGACUA